GACAAAUCGCAUAGUCUUGCACUGGCGAUGUAUCAAUCAAGUUCUGCCCUAUCAACUUGAUGUUAGUGUAUUGUACUAACAUGGUUUUUACGGGUAACAGAGGAUUAGGGUUCGAUCCUGGAGAAGGAGCCCCGAGAAACGGCUACCACUUCCAAGGAAGGCAGCAGGCGCGCAACUUACCCUAAUCUCGAUUCGAGGAGGUAGUGACAAGAAAUACCGAUGCGGGACCCUACGGGUGCCGCGUUCGGAAUGAGUACGAUUCGAACCACCUAACGAGGAACGAUCGGAGGGCAAGUCUGGUGCCAGCAGCCGCGGUAAUUCCAGCUCCAAUAGCGUACGUUAAAGUUGCUGCAGUUAAAAAGCUCGUAGUUGAACGUUCGGGUUCCGCGGGACGGGGCCGCCCCGCGAGGGACGGCGCCGCCCCGGGGCUCGUGAUAUCUCAUCUCGCCGCCCGUCGCGAGGCGGACGGAGGGAUGGAUGAGGUUACCUGGAAAAAAAUCGGGGCGAUCUAGGCGGGCGAACCUCGCCAACGAACGAUCGGACAUGGG
rnacentral:rRNA from 1 species